ACUUUUUGGUUUUGUAAUUGGAAUGAGUUAAGUAUAAACCCCUUUACAAGUAUCAAUUGGAGGGCAAGUCUGGUGCCAGCAGCCGCGGUAAUUCCAGCUCCAAUAGCGUAUAUUAAAGUUGUUGCAGUUAAAAAGCUCGUAGUUGGAUUUCUGUUAAUAAUUUAUAUAAAAUAUUUUGAUGAAUAUUUAUAUAAUAUUAACAUAAUUCAUAUUACUAUUUUUUUUUUUAGUAUAUGAAAUUUUACUUUGA
rnacentral:rRNA from 1 species